rnacentral:rRNA from 1 species
UACAGAGGGUGCAAACGUUGUUCGGAAUUAUUGGGCGUAAAGCGCGUGUAGGCGGCUUUGCAAGUCGGGUGUGAAAGCCCUCGGCUCAACCGAGGAAGUGCGCCCGAAACUGCAGAGCUUGAGUACCGGAGAGGAUGGCGGAAUUCCCCAAGUAGAGGUGAAAUUCGUAGAUAUAGGGAGGAACACCGGUGGCGAAGGCGGCCAUCUGGACGGAUACUGACGCUGAGACGCGAAAGCGUGGGUAGCAAACAGG